rnacentral:tRNA from 1 species
GGGGGUAUAGCUCACUGGUAGAGCAUUCGUCUGCAGAUUGAGAGGUCCCUGGUUCAAACAUUGGUGCCCCCU